GUUUGCCUGGGUUUGAUCCUCGUUUCAAGACAUCAUCUGGAAUUGCUGCAAGGCCCACAGCAGCCGUGGGUGAAGCGGCUCUGGAGUUGGGAUGCCUCCCGAGGAGCAUGGUCACUCCACAGCCCCUACAGUUGUGGAGGGAACCCGGCAACUUCCCAUUUUCAAGUUCUGCAAUU